rnacentral:snRNA from 1 species
AGCUUUGCACAGUGGCAGUAUUGUAGCUAAUGAGGUUUAUCUGAGGCGCGAUUAUUGCUAAUAUAUCACUAAUGAUGUUGCUUGUUCUGAAAAUUAUUAUGUCUGUUAUUAAUAUAG